AAAAGUUCACGAUGUGAGUCUCCACAUGCUGCUCUCUGUCUGAAUGGGAGCUGCAGUUUAGUCCUGCCUCAUAUCUGCCAUUUUCCCCAACCUGUCUCCAUUCCUGUUUUUAGCAAUAGGAAGACUCACAGAGAUACAGCAGCCUAGACUUCAACCAGCUUGUCAUCUCCAAUCAAUUAUUUGUGGAUACAUUGAGCACUGUGCUGACAGGCUCAGCUUUAAUGUCAUGAUCUAAUCAAAAGAUUUCCAAAUAGAGCUACAAGCGAGCAGCAUUUGGAACCCCAAGGAAGGAGCAUGAUGACCCAGGAAAAUGUCAAGAAUUGGAUGUUGAACAUUAGCCUUUCAGCCACAAUCACAGACAGGAGCACUGUCUUCCAAAAUAAAGAAUAAGCCUGUUAUUUCCUGUGCAGCCUGUGUAUCUGCAGCCAUCUGGGCAAAACAGAGCUGCUGCAGUAGACAAGCAAGAUCGUCCUAUGAAGAGAAACAGGAAUCCACUGCUGAUGCUAAUUUCUCUGAGAAGACUACUGGUCAGUUCUACCUGGCAUGCAGCUUCCUUCUCUUUGACAACAACAAAGACUAUUUUAAUCUUCCUGGCAUCAGCGCUUUGUCGUAAUCUGAAGGACAAGAAGAUGCAGUAAAGCAACAAUAAGUAACUAUGACCUCAUAUGUGGAGCCUAGAAUUAUAAGAAAAGAGUCAGAAAUACACUCCAUAUUGUCAUCUUUCUUUGUACGUGCUCAUAUGUGGGACACAUACAGGUCGAUGGGCAAAUCAGGUGCCAAGCAAAAUAGAUUACAUAAGAUUCUGAAUUAGGUACAGGUUUGUGACUUUGGUGGCUAACUCACUUGAAUCUGACAUGUAGCAGCUCUCAGCCUCAGUCUCCCUCAGAUAUUUGAAGCCUUACUGUAAAAGAUUCAAACACUACAGAGGCUUCAGAAGUGCUAGACUCUUCCUUCACCUCUUACAUUUUUACCCCCACACCGAACGAGGAUUGAACUGUUAAUAAUUUGUUGGGUUUCUGUGAAGACCUUUUCUUCUUCUUCUUUUUUUUAAUUUGACAGGGUCUUGCUUUGUUGCCCAGGCUAGAGUGCGAUAGCAAGAUCUCAGCUCACUGCAACCUCUAUCUCCCAGGCUCAAGGGAUCCUCCCACCUCCCCCUCACAAGUCAAGUAGCUAGGACCACAGGCACAUAUCACCAUGCCUAGCUAAUUUUUUAAUUUUUUAGAGUCGAGGUCUCACUUAUUGCCCAGACUGGUCUCAAACUCCUGGGCUCCAGAGAUCCUCCUGCUUCAGCCUCCCAAAGUGCUGGGAUUACAGGAGUGAGCCACCAGUGUGGUGGUGGCUAGUCCUUUUUUUAUGUCACCACUUGGAUAUAAAUAUAGAGAAAACCUUGAUCUUCUUAUUGUAUUAAUGGAGAAAUACAGCUUUGGUGAUUAUGGUAGAUUACAUGGUUGUUGCCUACUAUUGGGUCCCUUCUUAAAAGGAUAGCACACAUCCUUGUCUAUUGCAAUAUGAUUUGCAGUUCCUCCCAAUAUGUACAUCUGAGAGAGUGGAAAUUUACAUAGGCAAUUUGAACUUCCCAUCUGGAUCUCAGAGAAGUCUGAAAUAAAGUGAUGUAAAAAUUUGGGGGUUGUCAUAUGAAUGAUGGUGCUGUUCUCUAAAUCAGGGAACCAUGGAGAUGGGCCACCAUACCAGUUACUGUGACUAUGUAUAAAUAAAAAGUGCUUUUCCUUCUACGUUAACACUAAACACAUCCCACUUCACUUCUGACACCAGAUGUGUCGGGGGUUCCCCACACACCAAGCAAUUCUCCAUCAGACACCAAUUGGGUGUCCUAUAAUUUAACUCAAUUCUGACACUAUCUCCUUGGAGUUAGAGUCAGAUCCCACAGGUUAAGGGCUCAGUCCCACAAGAUUUCCCCAACUUCAGAUGCCAAUUGCAAGUAGUAGGUUGUCACCUACACUUCCGACAAACUAGAUAUACAUCAACGUUCCCAAAACCCCCUUCUUCAAUUUGCUAGAAUGGCUCACAGAAUUCAGCAAAA
rnacentral:lncRNA from 10 species